UCCUGGUUACUUAGCUGGUAAAGAAUCUGCUUACAAUGCAGGAGACCCGGGUUCAAUUCCUGGGUCAGAAA
rnacentral:tRNA from 1 species